GCGUUGGUGGUUCAGUGGUAGAAUACUCACCUGCCACGCGGGUGACCCGGGUUCGAUUCCCGGCCGACGCA
rnacentral:tRNA from 1 species